CUAUAUCUUUGUUAACUUUUGUCUAUACGCGCCUUCAAUUAUAUUUACUAUCUGGACAAGUCGCUCUUUUAAAGGAAUGACUACGUCAAGUUAAUAGGCCGCUGUUUCAAGGCCGCUUUAAUAAGUUUAGUGCCGGAGAUGCCGAAAACCAUUGAUAUUGGAAGACCAAACAGUUCGCAACCAUAUCUGUCUGCUUUCAUGCUUGUCGAGUUUCUUAUCAACAUUGCUAGUAGUUCCAGAUAAUCCCCCUCCCUCAGAAUACGGUAUUUUGUGUUUAAGUAAUGAGAAGCUUGCUGAAUG